rnacentral:rRNA from 1 species
UACCAGACUCCUACGGGAGGCAGCAGUGGGGAAUAUUGCACAAUGGGGGAAACCCUGAUGCAGCGACGCCGCGUGAAGGACGAAGUAUUUCGGUACGUAAACUUCUAUCAGCAGGGAAGAAAAUGACGGUACCUGACCAAGAAGCCCCGGCUAACUACGUGCCAGCAGCCGCGGUAAUACGUAGGGGGCAAGCGUUAUCCGGAUUUACUGGGUGUAAAGGGAGCGUGGACGGCCAUGCAAGUCUGAUGUGAAAACCCGGGGCUCAACCCCGGAACUGCUUUGGAAACUGUGCGGCUGGAGUGCAGGAGGGGUAAGCGGAAUUCCUAGUGUAGCGGUGAAAUGCGUAGAUAUUAGGAGGAACACCGGUGGCGAAGGCGGCUUACUGGACUGUAACUGACGUUGAGGCUCGAAAGCGUGGGGAGCAAACAGGAUUAGAUACCCCCGUAC